GAUGAACGCUAGCUACAGGCUUAACACAUGCAAGUCGAGGGGCAUCAGGAAGAAAGCUUGCUUUCUUUGCUGGCGACCGGCGCACGGGUGAGUAACACGUAUCCAACCUGCCCUUUACUCGGGGAUAGCCUUUCGAAAGAAAGAUUAAUACCCGAUAGUAUAAUGAUUCCGCAUGGUUUCAUUAUUAAAGGAUUCCGGUAAAGGAUGGGGAUGCGUUCCAUUAGGUUGUUGGUGAGGUAACGGCCCACCAAGCCUUCGAUGGAUAGGGGUUCUGAGAGGAAGGUCCCCCACAUUGGAACUGAGACACGGUCCAAACUCCUACGGGAGGCAGCAGUGAGGAAUAUUGGUCAAUGGACGAGAGUCUGAACCAGCCAAGUAGCGUGAAGGAUGAAGGUCUUACGGAUUGUAAACUUCUUUAUAAGGGAAUAAACCCUCCCACGUGUGGGAGCUUGUAUGUACCUUAUGAAUAAGCAUCGGCUAACUCCGUGCCA
rnacentral:rRNA from 1 species